rnacentral:lncRNA from 1 species
CAAAAAUGAAAUUAUUAAAAUUAAUUGUGAGAAACACAGGAAACUGCUUAUGGAGGGAUCACAGUAAGAGACUGACAGAAGGGAGUAAUGAGGCUUCUCCUCCAUUUCCUUCUUGGAAACUUUUUCUGCACAGAGAAAAUGUGGUUGAAAACCUAUUGUGCCUUGGAUUGAGUUAAAGGUCACACCCAAGGAUUUAUACAGAUUUAGUUCUCAUCUGGUCCCUUGAAGGGGGGAAAAGUUAAAAUAUCCAAUACAAAUCCAUUGAGUGAUGCACUGAUAACACCAAUUAUGUCCCACUCCCCUCUUGGUACAUUGGACUUCUAUUUCUCUGGCUGGGUAUUUCCAUUGUCCUAUAAUACAAUGACAGGCUCUUACAAGGCCAGUUUUCCCCCAUUAGAGAACCAAAAGGAGGGGCUGAGCCCAUUUCUUGGGCUUUAAUGCCUGGCUACGUGGGUCCGAAUCUCUAGCUAAGCCCUUCCUGUAGGACUGUUGAAAGACUCGAGCAGGCAGC